rnacentral:rRNA from 1 species
UGCAAGUCGAGCGCAUCCUUCGGGAUGAGCGGCGGACGGGUGAGUAACGCGUGGGAAUGUGCCCUUCUCUACGGNAAUAGCCACUGGAAACGGUGAGUAAUACCGUAUACGCCCUCAGGGGGAAAGAUUUAUCGGAGAAGGAUCAGCCCGCGUUAGAUUAGGUAGUUGGUGGGGUAACGGCCUACCAAGCCUACGAUCUAUAGCUGGUUUUAGAGGAUGAUCAGCCACACUGGGACUGAGACACGGCCCAGACUCCUACGGGAGGCAGCAGUAGGGAAUCUUGGACAAUGGGGGCAACCCUGAUCCAGCCAUGCCGCGUGAGUGAAGAAGGCCCUAGGGUCGUAAAGCUCUUUCGCCUGUGAUGAUAAUGACAGUAGCAGGUAAAGAAACCCCGGCUAACUCCGUGCCAGCAGCCGCGGUAAUACGGAGGGGGUUAGCGUUGUUCGGAAUUACUGGGCGUAAAGCGCGCGUAGGCGGAUUGGAAAGUUGGGGGUGAAAUCCCGGGGCUCAACCCCGGAACUGCCUUCAAAACUCCCAGUCUAGAGUUCGAGAGAGGUGAGUGGAAUUCCGAGUGUAGAGGUGAAAUUCGUAGAUAUUCGGAAGAACACCAGUGGCGAAGGCGGCUCACUGGCUCGAUACUGACGCUGAGGUGCGAAAGUGUGGGGAGCAAACAGGAUUAGAUACCCUGGUAGUCCACACCGUAAACGAUGAAUGCCAGUCGUCGGAUAGUAUACUAUUCGGUGACACACCUAACGGAUUAAGCAUUCCGCCUGGGGGAGUACGGUCGCAAGAUUAAAACUCAAAUGANUUGACGGA